CCCCCAAUCCGCAUCGACAACCGCUCAACACCGCCUCCCCUCCCCCCCUGACGACUUGCUGCCUCCACAGGCGGAAACGCGACUGACCACACGGGGAUCCCAGGGUCCGGCGGCAGGGGCAGCGGGAACAAGGGGAGGAGUUGGUAGCCACGCCUACAUUCGGCGCCUCUAUUGGUUGAAGGGAAACGACCUCGACGCCUACUGGGCGGCUGCGGACGUCAAUCAGCGCUGGGCGGUGACAAGACCUUGAGACACCAGAGAUUCUGACUGGUUUUCCCACAGUUACAGGAGAGACACUGAGAGGAGUGGUUGAUGCUGUUCGUACAGUGUGUCAUUCAACGCGGCUAUAUUUUUUUUCUUUUUUUUUUUUUCCACUUCCAUUCAUAAGUGACUAUAUCGUAUUAAUAUGAAUGCCCCUGUUACACGGGUUGCUGCCGGAGCCGGGGAUCUUUGGGGUGGGGGAGGCUCUAUUUCACCAAUGAUAUAAAUAGGGACGUGGACUUGGUACUAAGAUCAUCUCGGACUGUAAUGGCGGAAUUUGCUGAGGGGCAUUAUUCCUAUUGUGGGUGCUGCCCCAGGGAAGGAGUCCGUGAACACGAGGGCUGUGAGAAAAGCCACACAGAUUCAGCAAGGCAAAAUCCUAGGCUGCAGUGAAAUCUUAGGACCCUGUCUCUGCAGUGCAGCAAUGCAAAAACCACCACCAUUGCUGAUGAUAUGUGUCGUUUUCCCCAGCAAUGAGUCUGUCCCUGUCUUUGAGAGACGUAAAUCAGAAGCAGGACAGUUAAACCAAGUGCUGCCUGGAGUCCUGACAACAAAAUAAAUGAUGCGUCACACCUUAUUAAGCACACUUUUGGGGAAAAUCCGUAACGUUUCCGCGUAUCCGAUGAAAUCAGCCGAGACUUCUCUCAUUAAAGAGAUACUGACAUCAGAAAAUAA